rnacentral:tRNA from 1 species
GAAAAAGGAGAACCUCACUCCUCCCUAAGACU